rnacentral:rRNA from 1 species
AUUGAACGCUGACGGCAUGCCUUACACAUGCAAGUCGAACGGCAGCGCGGACUUCGGUCUGGCGGCGAGUGGCGAACGGGUGAGUAAUACAUCGGAACGUACCCUGUUGUGGGGGAUAACUAGCCGAAAGAUUAGCUAAUACCGCAUACGACCUGAGGGUGAAAGUGGGGGAUCGCAAGGCCUCACGGAGCAGGAGCGGCCGAUGUCUGAUUGGCUCGUUGGUGGGGUAAAGGCCCACCAAGGCGACGAUCAGUAGCUGGUCUGAGAGGACGAGCAGCCACACUGGGACUGAGACACGGCCCAGGCUCCGACGGGAGGCAGCAGUGGGGAAAUUUGGACAAUGGGGGCAACGCUGAUCCAGCAAUGCCGCUUGUGUGAAGAAGGCCUUCGGGUUGUAAAGCACUUUUGUCCGGAAAGAAAUCGCGCUGGUUAAUACCUGGCGUGGAUGACGGUACCGGAAGAAUAAGCACCGGCUAACUACGUGCCAGCCGCCGCCGUAA